UAUCGGUUUGUACAGUGUAUAUCACGAUACUUACCGGUAUCACUAGCACGGAAAUGUCGAUUUGUACAAUGUAUAUCACGAUACUUACCUGGAAUAUUGGUUUGUACAGUGUAAAUCAUGACACCUACCGGUGUCACUAGCAUGAGUGAAGUAAAACACCGAAUACAAUAUGUCAUUCUUUUGUCAGUUUGUUAAUUGUUUACGUCUCAUACGAAAAUUAUUCACUUAUACAGAGACGUAUACAUUUUUCGAUGUAAUGGCACAAAUUUUGACCUUUGCAUUACGCUCAAGGUCGUAGCAGUAAGAAUGCCUUACUUCUGAUUAAAAUCAGCUCCUCGAGUAGCGACAAAAUCAAAAGAAAUAAAGGGGCGGAUCGAGGAGCUGAUUUUAAUCAGAUUAUUCUUACUUCUGAUGCCUGACGCUAGGCGAAAGAACAAUCUCUACUUAUGCUAAACAUGUUAAACGUCAUACUUUUGACGCGGUUACGGGUUCAAGCCCGGUACUUUCGGUUGUGACGGUCUCCCUCCCCCCUAACAACUAAGAUAUCGCAACCGGUCCCUUGUAAGUAGAUUGGAUACAUAUGCAUUAUUACAUACUAGGUAAUCUCAAAGGCAUGGUAUUUUACCAUAUACAAACGAGGCAGUAUAGAAUUUUCCUUUUCACUUCCUUUGCAGGAGAUUCUCUGAAGUAUCACAGCGGGGUCUACUUCAGUACGAAGGAUGCAGACAACGACGAGUCCGAUACAAAUUGUGCCAAAUCCUGGAGUGGUGCUUGGUGGUAUAAAAGUUGUCUUCACUCCAAUCUCAAUGGAAUUCCACUUGAAAAGUCGUGCUUGAUAUUUAGAUGUUGGAAGAGUCACAGCCCACAGUUCCAUCGCGGAAAGUUAUAACCUCUCAUUCAUUUUCUUUGAUACUCUCUCUCUCUCUCUCUCUCUCUCUCUCUCUCUCUCUCUCUCUCUCUCUCUCUCUUUUAAAAUAAUACUGAUAAUUUGGAGAUUUUAAUCAAUUUAAAAAAAGAUUUAGCCAAAUGUCUUAUUUUGAAAAGGAUCAAUAUAUACUAAUCUGUAAAAUAUCAUUAAAGCAGUAAUUAUAUCUGCAGCACGUUUUUGUCACCACUUGGCUCUUGCCUAUUUGACCCUCCCGAUAACCCUCACAUAUAAGCUGGCUUUGAAAACAAGUAUGUUAUAUCCAGAUGAGAUCAGUGUUUGUUUUAUUAUUUACACGAUUUAUGCGAAUGAUCACUGAUCGUUAUUUCCGCUGUUUCAUAGGGGACCAGUCUUAAAAGUUACCCGAUGCCUUAAAUAGAAAAUCAGUAUUGCAGCAAUGGUCGUAUCAGUAAAACUGAUUAGACUUGAUUAACCUUAUAGAAAAUGGACUCAAAGAAAAGACAUGCUGUGGCCACCUUGAGGUGUAUUGAUGAUCUAGUGUACAUUUCUCCUUUUUCAUCAAGUCUGUGAUAUAAUAGAUGAACAUUCAUUCCAGAUAGUAAAUCAAGAACCGCUAGUAAAAAAAAAACCAACUAGUAAAUCACAUAUUGUAAUGCUCCGAAAAAAAACCCACAUUUUAUGCCUGUGUCAGAAUCCGCGAGCUUUGCGCUAUCUAUUACUUUCAGUAUAUCUGCGUUUGAUUUUAAUGCUUUCCUACGUUCGUCUGGGUUAUUCAAAGCCUAUUCUCCCUACGUUGAAAUCAUAUAUUGUAUAAAAUCAUAGGCACUUCAGAUUCCCGCCCCCUGAAGACACAAAACUAGUUUUGACGAGGUUUCCUAAUUUCAAAUGCAGACACUUUUGAGUGCCUUCAGUAUACAUACAGAUAAAGAUCAAAAGAUAGUCAUGUAAACAUUACAAGAAUGCAAGUCAUCACUAUUUGCUAGUUUUAUUGGGAUAUUUCCUGGUAUUUAAGCAAACCCACAGGCACCUAAGUAUGGAUAUUUUUUUACCUCCUCCUUUUUUUAAAAAAAAUAUUUUUCCUGACAAUAAUUUCUCUGAUAUAUGUGAAUUCCCAGCCUAUCUCAUCCCUCUUUCGAUUGAUGUAAUCGUUUCACGCAUUUUACAAGUUUUAAUAGAGAUUGCCCCUCUGUCCUGAAUUAUAAAUUAUAAGGAUAUAAAGCCAAUCUCUACAGCUUGUAGCACAAUGGGGGAAGUGCACUAUAAUGUAAAUAUUACUGAAUAAACAGUGUACAUCUUUCUUGGAUAAUGCCUGGCCAGAACUAAGAACCAUCGAAAAAUCUUACAACAUACAAUUUCUCAAAAUAUAGGCAUAUAACUACUUCUAAAGUUUUCAUUUAAUCUGGUUAACUCGGUUACUGCACAGAACAUCAUCACAAUUAUUACCUUGUAAUUAUUAUUUUUUCUUAUACAAAUAGAUAAGCAGGACACUUUACACAGUUGUGUGCAAAAGCUCAGGAGCUAACUUUCGUAAAUACAUAUAAAAAGGUUGGAAAAUAUAUUAAGGAGAAGGCUGUUAUUUUGAGAUUAAAACACAAUUUAUUGAUGACAAAUCGUCAAAAUUGAAAAUUUCUAUAAUAAUCUCUGUUUCUAUUGAAAACUUUUAAUUUGUAUCAUAUUUGGACAUAUUAAUGUAUCAUUAAACAAAUGUGAAAAUUCAGAAAAAUGUUCAAGGGAUAGCUGUUAUUUUGAGGCAAAAACACCAUUUAUUAGUGAAAAAUCGCCAUGAAUUGGAAAUUCUAGUUAAAAUCUCUUUCAAUUGAAACUCUUUGAUUUGUAUUGUAUAUGGAUCCACUAAUGUACCCUUUACCAGAUCAGACAUACAAGUUUAGAAAAAUAUACUGAAGGGAAAUCUGUUACAUGCAUAUUUGGGCUAAACACGAUUUCUUUAUGCGAUAUCGUCAAAACAUGGAUAUUCCAAUUUAAAUGUAUAUCACAAUUGAAACUUAAAUUGUAUCAUAUUUGAAUACACCAAUGAAAGGUGAAGAUAACGAACAGUGAUUACUCCUAUAACUCUUAUGAUCAAUACAAAAUAGAGAGUUGGACAAACAUGUACUCCUGGAUAUAUCAGAGAUGGUAUAAUACUAGUGUAGAAAAAAGAUAUUGAAGAAAAAGCUGUUAUUCUGAAGUUUAACAUGAUUUACUGAUGAAAAAUCGUCGAUAAAUGGAAUUUUAAAACUCUCCUUCAAUGGCAAUUUUGUUUAUCUGUGUCAUAUUGGGAUAAUUCCAUCUUUAGUUCACCUGAGCCGAAGGUUCAAGUCAACUUUUCUGAUCAAAAUCUCUCCGUUGACGUCUCAGUCUUCGUCUGCGUAGUCGGCGUAAACUUUUCACAUUUUCAUCUUCUUCUCCAGAUUUCAACCAUACUUGGCACAAAGCAUCCCAAGGUGAAGUGGAUGCACGUAUUUUCAAAUGAAGGAUCAUACCCCUUUAAAGGCGAGAUGAUGAAAAAAAUGCAAAAUUAGGGUGGGGUCAUUUAAAAAUCUUUUCAAGAACCACUGGGCCAGAAAAAUUGAAAUUUGCAUGAAAGCUUCCUGACAUCGCAUAAAUUCAAGUUUGUAAAAAUAUGGACCCUUGGGGAUCAAAUUUUACAAACAAAUAAAUAGGGGAAAUCUUCAAUAUUCUUCUCAAGAACUAACAGGGCAUAUGAGUAGAUAUGUAAGUGAAAAGCUUCCUAAUUUAGAGUUGAUUCAAAUUUGUUCAGAGCAUGACCCUCCAGAACCACUGAGCCAAUUUCAAUCAAACUUAGGACGAAUUAUCCUUGGAUGAAGAGGAUGCAAGUUUGAGCCAAUGAAGGGCCAUACCCCCUCAAAGGGAAAAUAAUUAAAUAAAUGCAAAAAUAGGGUGCGUCAUUUAAAAAUCUUCUCAAGAACCACUGGGCCAGAAAAACUGAAAUUUACAUGAAAGCUUUCUGACAUAGUAAAUAUUCAAGUUUGUAAAAAUGAUGACCCUUGAGCUUAGGAAGGGAUCAAAGUUGUACAUGUGAAUGUAUAAUGAACCACACUUGACACAUGCCAUCCUUAGAUGAAAUUUGUCAAUAUGAAAGGCCAAAUUCGUCAACAAGGGCAUAUGAUAGUUAAUGAAUUUGUAGUCAAGUGCAAUAAUUAAGUUCGACAAUUAAUGAAUGUGUAGACCUUCGGAAAGUUCUUUUUCUGAACCAAACUGCUUGCGUAAUGAUACUUGUCCCCGGGCUUGUUUAUUGCUAGGAACUGCUGCUCUGGUAAGGGAUGUGGUCCAUUGGCCUCUUGUAUGGAUUUGUUUUUAAAGAAAUUGUAGGUUGUUGAACCUUUAUUUUUACAUUUUGUUUUGUGUCUCAUACAUCAAAGUAUGGAGAACUGUUAUGCUGGUGUCAUGUCCGAGUCCAUUUUUUCUGUUUGACAACAUAGAAUAAUAUUAAGAAAUGUAGCUCUCUCCUAUAUUUUGACCGCAUGAAAGGUGAGAAUAAUGAACAGUGACCAAUCUCAUAACUCCUAUAAGCAAUAAAAAAUAGACAGUUGAGCAAAAAGGAACACUGGGCAAACCAGAGGUGGGAUCAGGUGCCUAGGGGGAGUAAGCAUCCCCUGUCGACCGUUCACAUCCGCCUUGAGCCCUAUAUCCUGAUCAGGUAAAUGGAGUUAUCCGUAGUCAAACCAAUGUGCCCAGAACGGUCUAACAAUCGGUAUGAAACAUGUCAGACAUCAUUUGACCCAAUGAUAGGUUGUAUUGACGAACUACACAUAGAUAGUUAUAACGACCAUAGAAUUUGCGAAAUGCUGACUUCAACCGAGACUGUUGAAACCCCUGUACCAUCAACUUGUUUUUCAGUAGCUUGCCUCGAUUUAAAAACUGACUUUACGCAGAAAAAGCUUUUGCAUAUCGAAUCAGUUGAGAGGUAUGAACACUAUAUGCAGUUGAUAAUGGAAUAUUGCUUCAUAAAUAUGGGAUGUUGACGAUGGAGAAGUUGAAAUCAUCCUGUUUAGAAAUUCAGAAAAAAUAUAAACUAAUCUGAGUAUCUUGAAUACAAUGAGUACAAACUCUCCACAUUCAUAUAAUAUCUAUGGCAAUGUCAGCCGCAAAUUUUACUUCAAUAAAACAUUUUUGCUUGCAUGUUCUGGUGACAUCCAACACACGAUCGAAACAGAUUAACAAAGCAAUUUACUUGUGCAUUCUUACAAUCUGUUGGUGAAUUUUAUUUCUUUGAUUUAUAAUUUAGAACCAGACCUUGCUGCAUACCACGUGGUUCCGAUUUGUGAGAAUGGUAGUUUUUCCAUUUUUAACCUAAACUUUGUUAUGAAUUCGAACUAAACGGAAAUUUUAUGUCUAAAGUAAUAUUUGCAUCUAAUUUGCAUAUGUGUUAGAUGGUUUUAUCGAAGACAGUACAAUACGCAAUUAUUCCCCGUUUGUCUAAUGCACCGAAGUCCAUUCUGAUUGUUUCCCCUUGCGCUAUAUAUAAGCGGCGGCGCUUUAUCUGCCUAUUCCUUUUCCAAACUUACAGCAUCAUACCAAGUCGGUGAUGAAUUCAAAGGUUGUUGUCUGUAAAACCCACCCCUUCCUCCACUUUAUUUGCUUUUUCUGCGUCGUGUGUUAAUUUCUACUUUCAGGAAAAUCUCGUCUUCCAUGCUGACAUCGCAAACGGAGUCGAAGAUGUCCUAGUUUAUGAAUUUUAGCAUAUAUUGCAUUCCGGUACAGUGUGACGUUGCUACCUAGCUUUAGCGCUUACGAGCGGCGCUGUCAGAACUUAUGAUGAAAUUUGAAAAUCUACAAGUCCUUGACCUCUGCACCUGCCAGGGCCAAGGUCAUGAGAUGUUUGACCUCUGCACCUCCCGGGGUCAAGCACUCUUUGAUAUACUGUGAACUUUGAACUCUGAAUGUUGAUAUUUUAUAAGUUUGAUUGUUGACUUUGCAAGAGAAUAUGUUGUAUGUCGAUGUUGAAUUUGCUUUUGAUGAUGCAUUUGUUGUUUGUUGGGGCCUGUCCUUGAUCAUGCUGGCGACCCGUCCUUUCUGUGUUGUGAAUACAGCCGUGCCGAUAAACGCCAUAAUAAAGAAAUAAGUAUAUAC